rnacentral:rRNA from 1 species
AUUGAACGCUGGCGGCAGGCCUAACACAUGCAAGUCGAGCGAGCGACGGACGGGUGAGUAAUUUCUGGGAAACUGCCUGAUGGAGGGGGCUAACUUCUGGAAACGGUAGCUAAUACCGCAUCCCAUCAGAUGUGCCCAGAUGGGCUUUGCUGGUAGUUGGGGUAACGGAUAACCUAGGCGACGAUCCCUAGCUGGUCUGAGAGGAUGACCAGCCACACGGGAAUGGAGAAAAGGGACAGUCCACUACGGGAGGCAGCAUGGGGGAAUAUUGCACCAUGGACGGAAGGCUGAUGCAGCCAAGCCGCGUGUGUGAAGGAGGCCUUCGGGUUGUAAAGGACUUUCAGCGGGGAGGCGUUACCCGCAGAAGAAGCACCGGCUAACUCCGUGCCAGCAGCCGCGGUAAUAC